rnacentral:misc_RNA from 1 species
CACAUAAAACCAAUACAGCAACCAAUCAAACACAAAUUCAAAACCAUAACCUAACAUAAAAGCCCAAAUUUACCAACACCAACUUCUCGAAAUGCUUUGUGCAAAAAGCUUAUGUGAGACAGUGAUACUGUGAACCAAGGGAAUGCUCUGCCUCGCAUGGGAUGGGAUGGGAUGGAAAAUUGAGAACUUUGGGAAGCAAGAAGGAAAAAGGAGGCAGAUUUACUCACCUGCAGUCCCAUCGCCCUCGCUGCCCUCAGUCGCCAGCAGCAAGUGCUCCACUGCUGCUGCUCCUCCUCCUCCUCCUCCACCU